rfam:Phaeomoniella chlamydospora PC4_TCR_scaffold_v01_20, whole genome shotgun sequence.
GAGUUAGUAACUUAAUAGGUAAAGGGUUUCCUUGUCGAGGAAAUAGAUGCCGGGUCGGAGCCGGUCUAACUCG